UUUGAAGUAAAAUUAAAACAAAAUAGAGGUGGAAACUUAGAAUUAGGGUGCCAAAACACAAUCAUUACAUUUGCCUCAACAGAUUCGCAACGGAGCCCUUUUUGCGAUCCCAGCCACGAUCCCGGCAUUGAAGGUCUCACUCCCCCAGUCCAUCUUCUCCACUCCAACCUAUAUUCUCCAUCUCCAAAACCAUAACCGGAUCAUUACAUAGGAUGGUAUAAUUUUUUGGUUGAAAUUUUUUUGUUUAAUUUAAGCUGAAAGUUUUGUUCAUCAGUACAAUGACCUAUAUCUACUUACUUUAUUCGAAGAAUUUGGUUUAUUAUUUUUGGAAAUCGUAAAUGAUCAAUUUUGAUUAAUUGUAAGAUCUCCUUUGUAUUUAGUUCAUUCAUUUGUUACAUUUAAUUAACCCAAAAAAAGGAAAAAAAAUGGAUUUCUAUCUAAAUGUAUUCGAUGAUGAUGUGUAAGGAAGAUUGGAAUACAUAUUCACAGAACUCAGCUGGAUUUUGAUUUAAGAUUGGGCAUUUCGAACACAUAAAUAUUAAGUGGGUGUUUUAUGUUUUGCAGGAUCACCAAAUAUGGAAGAUGUUUUGUUCGUCGAUUCAAAAAAAUGAGAAUGUUGACGAUAAAGUGAUUGCCCUGGAAGAUGAAACGGUAAGUGGAGUUGGAUUGACUGCGUCUAAGAUUGGUGUGCAGUUCAAGGAAGAAAAGGAAGUGUAUGAUUUUUACGCAAGCUAUGCUUAUGCUAUAGGUUUUUGAGUUAGAAAGAAGAGUUCGAUGAGUGAUGAUGAUGUUGUUUUGAGAUUUUCACGUUAACCUGUAGUCGGAAGGAAAGAAGAAGUGGUAAUACAAGAUAUCCAUGGUUACUGGAAAAUUGGCACCGUUUACCCUGACCACAAUCAUAAGACAAGCCCUACUAAGUCCAUAUUGUAUCGAUGCAACCAAAAAUUGAGUUAACACAUGAAAUGGAAGCUCGAAGUGAAUAAUAUAGCUGGAAUACCAUUGCAUAAAAGAUUUAACUCCGCAGUUGUUGAAGUUCGAAAUACCUCCUAAGGGAGCUUUGAUGUAAAAAUGUUUAGUGCGAGCACAAAUUUAGUUGGUUAUGAGACUUGAUUAAGUGGAAUUGUAUGGUGUAUUGAUUGAAAAAGUGAUUAUUGCUUAUCACUGUUCCUUAAUUUGAAAUAUUAUGUAUCAUGUUUUGUUUUGUGGAAAAUCAUGUCCUGAGCAGUGUGAUGGAAUAAGAUAGAACCAUUUUAAACUUGUGUUGUU
rnacentral:lncRNA from 1 species